AUGGCCUCGCACCACCGCGGCCGCAUCCCCUCCCACCUCGCCCCCGCCGCUGCCCUCCUUUUUGCCUUCAUAAUCGCGCUUCCAGCAUCCGGCGAUCCCCUCGGACAGUUGUGCGGCAACAGUGGCAACUUCACCGCCAACAGCACCUACCAGGCCAACAUCCGGCGCCUCUCCGCCACCCUCCCCAAGAACGCCUCCUCCUCGCCGACGCUCUUCGCCACCGACACCUUCGGAACCCUCCCGGACAUCGUCUACGCGCUCGCGCUCUGCCGCGGGGACACCAGCGCCGCCAACUGCAGCCAAUGCGUCGCCACGGCUUUCCAAGACGCUCAGCAGCGCUGCCCGUACAACCAGGAUGCUACCAUCUUCUACGACCCCUGCGCACUCCGCUUCUCCAACCAGAACUUCCUGUCCUCCACCAAUGGCGACGGCACCCUCCUCCUCCUCAUGAACACUCAGAACGUGUCCGCACCGGUGAAGGUGUUCAACGCCGCCGUGGGCGUCCUCCUGAACGCCACCGCCAAUUACGCGGCCGCGAAUUCCUCCAGGAGGUUCGGCACAGGAGAGGAGGGGUUCGAGACGGUCGACAAGGGUACCCCAAAGAUUUACGGUCUGGCGCAGUGCACGCCGGACAUGGCACCGGCCGAUUGCCAGACCUGCCUCCAGGGUAUCAUCAAGAGGAUGCCGGAAUUCUUCAGUGGGAAGCAGGGUGGCCGGGUUCUAGGAUUGCGGUGCAAUUACAGGUAUGAGCAGUAUCGCUUCUUCAAUGGGCCUUCGCUGCUGCAGCUCCCGGCGCCAUCCGUGGGGUUAGCUCCAGCUCCAGCGCCGGCGAACGUGAAGCCACCGCCAGUCGGAGGAGGAAGCACAGGGAACAGAACGGCUAGAAUUUUAGCUAUUACGCUGCCGAUAGUUGCUGCAAUACUGGCUGCUGUUGUAAUUUGCCUUUAUCUAUGGAGGAGGAAGAGCAAACCGGCGCGAAAGGCAUCACUAUCAUAUCCAACUAAUCCAGAGGACAUACAGAGUAUCGAUUCACUCAUUCUCGAUCUAUCAACUCUACGAGCCGCAACGGAUAACUUUGAUGAAAGGAAUAAACUUGGUGAAGGAGGGUUUGGUGUGGUUUAUAAGGGAAUCCUUCCUGACAAUGAAGAAAUAGCAGUUAAAAGGCUCUCACAAAGCUCUCGCCAAGGGAUAGAGGAGCUCAAAAAUGAGCUUGUUUUGGUUGCUAAGCUUCAACACAAGAAUUUAGUGAGACUUCUUGGUGUUUGCUUGGAGGAACAAGAAAAGUUACUUGCGUAUGAAUACAUGCCCAACAAAAGCCUUGACACCAUUCUUUUUGAUCCUGAUAGGAGCAGUCAGCUUGAUUGGGGGACGAGAUUUAGGAUAGUCAAUGGGAUUGCUCGAGGCUUACAGUACCUUCAUGAAGAUUCUCAGCUGAAGAUAAUUCACCGGGACCUCAAAGCGAGCAAUGUUCUUUUAGACUCUGAAUUUAAUCCGAAAAUUUCAGAUUUUGGCUUAGCAAGGCUAUUUGGCAGUGACCAAUCCCAUGAUGUCACCAACCGUGUCGUCGGAACCUACGGAUACAUGGCCCCUGAGUAUGCUAUGCGUGGGAAUUACUCUAUCAAGUCAGACGUGUUCAGCUUCGGCGUCUUGAUUUUAGAAAUCGUCACUGGAAAAAGAAACAGCGUCGCAUAUGACUCCGAGCAAGCUGUGGAUCUCUUAAGUUUGGUGUGGGAGCACUGGACGAUGGGAACAAUUGUAGAGAUCAUGGAUUCGUCUAUGACAAGCCAUUCUCCUGGAGACCAGAUGCUCAAGUGCAUGCACAUCGGACUUCUGUGUGUUCAAGAAGACCCCGCUGAUAGACCGAUGAUGUCGGUUGUGACUGUCAUGCUAAGCAGCAGCACUGUGUCUCUCCAAGCUCCAUCAAGGCCAGCAUUUUGCAUCCAAAAGAGUGGCAUGGACUACUCAGGCAUGCACACGGAUCCAUAUCCAGGAGUUUCGCAUUCUACCAGCAGAUCACCUAUGUCACCGAACGAAGUUUCGAUUACUGAACUUGAGCCGAGAUAA
rnacentral:rRNA from 1 species